rnacentral:rRNA from 1 species
GGGAGUGAAAUAGAACCUGAAACCCUGCACUUACAAGCUGUGGAAGCACAUUUCUUGUGUGACCGCGUACUUUUUGUAGAACGGGCCAACGAGUUACGUUAAGUAGCAAGGUUAAGCACUUAAGGUGCGGAGCCGUAGCGAAAGCGAGUUUUAACUGAGCGUUCAGUUACUUGACGUAGACCCGAAACCGGGCGACCUACCCAUGAGCAGGAUGAAGCGAAAGUAAAAUUUCGUGGAGGUCCGAACCCACGAGCGUUGAAAAGCUCGGGGAUGACUUGUGGGUAGCGGUGAAAUUCCAAUCGAGCCCGGAGAUAGCUGGUUCUCCCCGAAAUAGCUUUAGGGCUAGCCUCAAGGUGAGAGAUACGGAGGUAGAGCACUGAAUGUCCUAGGGGGUAUUGCACCUACCGAAGACUAUCAAACUCCGAAUGCCGUCAUCUUAUACUUGGGAGUCAGACUGUGGGUGAUAAGAUUCAUAGUCGAAAGGGCAACAGCCCAGAUCGUCAGCUAAGGUCC